AGAGUUCGAUCCUGGCUCAGGACGAACGCUGGCGGCGUGGAUUAGGCAUGCAAGUCGCACGAGAAACAUUCCUUCGGGAAUGCGGACAGUGGCGAACUGGUGAGUAACACGUGAACAACCUGCCCUUACAUUCCGGAUAGCCGGCCGAAAGGCCGGAUAAUACGGGGGAGGAUCUUUGGAAGGCAUCUUUUGAAGAAGGAAGGCGCAAGCCGUGCAAGGAGGGGUUCGCGGAUUAUCAGGUAGUUGGUGAGGUAACGGCUCACCAAGCCGACGACGAAUAGCUGGUCUGAGAGGAUGGUCAGCCACACUGGGACUGAGACACUGCCCAGACUCCUACGGGAGGCUGCAGUCGAGAAUCUUGGACAAUGUACGAAAGUAUGAUCCAGCGACGCCGCGUGGAGGAUGAAGGAGCUAUGCUUCGUAAACUCCUUUUAUGAGGGAAGAAGAUCUGACGGUACCUCAUGAAUAAGCCACGGCUAACUACGUGCCAGCAGCCGCGGUAAUACGUAGGUGGCAAGCGUUGUCCGGAAUUACUGGGCGUAAAGGGUGUGUAGGCGGAUGUUUAAGUAGAAAGUGAAAGGUCGGAGCUCAACUCCAACAUUGCUUCCUAUACUGGAUGUCUUGAGUUUCGGAGAGGAAGAUGGAACGACACGUGUAGCGGUGAAAUGCGUUGAUAUGUGUCGGAACACCAAUAGCGAAGGCAAUCUUCUGGACGAAUACUGACGCUGAGACACGAAAGCAUGGGUAGCGAACAGGAUUAGAUACCCUGGUAGUCCAUGCCCUAAACGAUGUUCACUAGGUGUCGGGGAUUUUUCUUCGGUGCCGCAGCUAACGCAUUAAGUGAACCGCCUGGGGACUACGGCCGCAAGGUUGAAACUCAAAGGAAUUGGCGGGGGCCCGCACAAGCGGUGGAGCAUGUGGCUUAAUUCGAUGCAACG
rnacentral:rRNA from 1 species